GCCGGGAUGGCCCAACGGUACGGCGCUGGCCUUGAGAGCCAGUUGGACUUUGUCCUUUCCAGGUUCGAAUCCUGGUCCCGGCG
rnacentral:tRNA from 1 species